rnacentral:rRNA from 1 species
ACGGAAGGCAGCAGUGAGGAAUAUUGGUCAAUGGAGGAAACUCUGAACCAGCCAAGUCGUGUGAGGGAAGAAUGCCCUACGGGUUGUAAACCUCUUUUGCUGGGGGAUAAACCUGACCACGUGUGGUCAGCUGAAGGUACCCGGUGAAUAAGCAUCGGCUAACUCCGUGCCAGCAGCCGCGGUAAUACGGAGGAUGCGAGCGUUAUCCGGAUUUAUUGGGUUUAAAGGGUGCGCAGGCGGGCUGUUAAGUCAGCGGUGAAAUCCCCGGGCUCAACUCGGAAACUGCCGUUGAUACUGGCGGCCUUGAGUCAUGUAGAGGAUGGCGGAAUGCAGCGUGUAGCGGUGAAAUGCUUAGAUAUGCUGCAGAACUCCGAUUGCGAAGGCAGCUGUCCAGAGAGGUACUGACGCUGAGGCACGAAAGCAUGGGUAUCAAACAGGAUUAGAUACCCUGGUA